CCUACGGGUGGCAGCAGUGAGGAAUAUUGGUCAAUGGACGAGAGUCUGAACCAGCCAAGUAGCGUGAAGGAUGACUGCCCUAUGGGUUGUAAACUUCUUUUAUAUGGGAAUAAAAUGUUCCACGUGUGGGAUUUUGUAUGUACCAUAUGAAUAAGGAUCGGCUAACUCCGUGCCAGCAGCCGCGGUAAUACGGAGGAACCGAGCGUUAUCCGGAUUUAUUGGGUUUAAAGGGAGCGUAGGUGGAUUGUUAAGUCAGUUGUGAAAGUUUGCGGCUCAACCGUAAAAUUGCAGUUGAAACUGGCAGUCUUGAGUACAGUAGAGGUGGGCGGAAUUCGUGGUGUAGCGGUGAAAUGCUUAGAUAUCACGAAGAACUCCGAUUGCGAAGGCAGUUCACUGGACUGCAACUGACACUGAGGCUCGAAAGUGUGGGUAUCAAACAGGAGUAGAUACCCCAGUAGUC
rnacentral:rRNA from 1 species